GGAGCAUGUGGUUUAAUUCGAAGCAACGCGAAGAACCUUACCAGGCCUUGACAUGCAGAGAACUUUCCAGAGAUGGAUUGGUGCCUUCGGGAACUCUGACACAGGUGCUGCAUGGCUGUCGCCAGCUCGUGUCGUGAGAUGUUGGGUUAAGUCCCGUAACGAGCGCAACCCUUGUCCUUAGUUACCAGCACGUUAUGGUGGGCACUCUAAGGAGACUGCCGGUGACAAACCGGAGGAAGGUGGGGAUGACGUCAAGUCAUCAUGGCCCUUACGGCCUGGGCUACACACGUGCUACAAUGGUCGGUACAAAGGGUUGCCAAGCCGCGAGGUGGAGCUAAUCCCAUAAAACCGAUCGUAGUCCGGAUCGCAGUCUGCAACUCGACUGCGUGAAGUCGGAAUCGCUAGUAAUCGUGAAUCAGAAUGUCACGGUGAAUACGUUCCCGGGCCUU
rnacentral:rRNA from 1 species